rnacentral:piRNA from 1 species
UUCGCCAGUUUCUAUAAUUUA